UACGAAGGGUGCAAACGUUGCUCGGAAUUAUUGGGCGUAAAGCGCACGUAGGCGGCUUGGCAAGUCGGAUGUGAAAUCCCUCGGCUCAACCAAGGAAGUGCAUCCGAAACUGCUGAGCUUGAGUACUUAAGAGGAUCGCGGAAUUCCCGGUGUAGAGGUGAAAUUCGUAGAUAUCGGGAGGAACACCGGUGGUGUAGACGGCUUUCUGGACCGUAACUGACGCUGAUACACGAAAGCGUGGGUAGCAAACAGG
rnacentral:rRNA from 1 species